CCUGGUUGAUCCUGCCAGUAGCAUAUGCUUGUCUCAAAGAUUAAGCCAUGCAUGUCUAAGUACAAGCCGCUAGACGGCGAAACCGCGAAUGGCUCAAUAAAUCAGUUAUGGUUCCUUAGAUCCACUCCAUCCUACUUGGAUAACUGUGGUAAUUCUAGAGCUAAUACAUGCACUCGAGCCUCGACUGCGCCCGCUUCGCGGUGGGUGCAGAAGAGGUGCUUUUAUUAGAUCAAAACCAGUCGGGGCGAGCGGCGGGCAACCGUCGCGCGACCCGUACCAAUUUUGGUGACUCUGGAUAACUUCACGCCGAUCGCAUGGCCUUCGAGCCGGCGACGUAUCUUUCAAAUGUCUGCCUUAUCAACUGUCGAUGGUAGGUUACGCGCCUACCAUGGUUGCUACGGGUAACGGGGAAUCGGGGUUCGAUUCCGGAGAGGGAGCCUGAGAAACGGCUACCACGUCCAAGGAAGGCAGCAGGCGCGCAAAUUACCCACUCCCGGCACGGGGAGGUAGUGACGAAAAAUAACGAUACGGGACUCUUCCGAGGCCCCGUGAUUGGAAUGAGUACACUUUAAAUCCUUUAACGAGGAACCAUUGGAGGGCAAGUCUGGUGCCAGCAGCCGCGGUAACUCCAGCUCCAAUAGCGUAUAUUAAAGUUGUUGCGGUUAAAAAGCUCGUAGUCGGAUGUCUGUAUUCGGCCGGGCGGCGCCGCUCUGAAUCAAGGGUGUUGCGUUUCACGCUCUGGGAGCCCGGGUGUCAAAGCCCGACUCUCUUCACGGUCGGACAACAUCGCCGGAGUGGUGGCCGGUGGGUCGCGUUGUAUCGGUUCGCGUGGCGUUUCGUUUUCUUCCUCUUCGGGGUUCGCUCCGUCGAGGGGGGGGGUGAUCGCUCGCGUUCAGUUGACGCGGUUCGCUCCACCCAGUCAAUCGUUCGGGGUGCCCUUCACCGGGUGUCUCGGGCGGCCGGCAACGUUUACUUUGAACAAAUUAGAGUGCUCAAAGCAGGUGUAUCCCAACGCCUGAAUAUCGCAGCAUGGAAUGAUGGAAUAGGACCUCGGUCCGAUUUUGCUGGUCUUUUCUUUUGGACCCGAGGUAAUGGUCAAUAGAGACGGAGGGGGGAUUCGUACUGCGGCGACAGAGGUGAAAUUCUUGGACCGCCGCAAGACGAACAACAGCGAAGGCAUUUGCCAAGAAUGUUUUCCUUGAUCAAGAACGAAAGUUAGAGGUUCGAAGGCGAUCAGAUACCGCCCUAGUUCUAACCAUAAACCAUGCCAACCAGCAAUCCGUUGGAGUAACUCCGAUGACUCGACGGGCAGCUUCCGGGAAACCAAAGUCUUUGGGUUCCGGGGGAAGUAUGGUUGCAAUCUUUCUUUAUUCGGUGGGUGGUGGUGCAUGGCCGUUCUUAGUUGGUGGAGCGAUUUGUCUGGUUAAUUCCGAUAACGAACGAGACUCUAGCCUGCUAAAUAGGUGACGGGUUUUAUCAAUUGAAACCGAAGGGAGUACGGAGGCGUCGGGAUCAGGUGGCGGCGGUUCGGGUGGAAGGGGCCGGGUUCUUUAGCGGGCUCUUUUCGCGGCGUGGAUUCGGUUGGAAGCAAAAAGGAUGGGGGAGUUGGUGUUCGGGGUUUCGGCUCCGGGCGUUGGCUUUUCUUUUCUUGCGUUUCCUGCCGGGCUGCGUCGCGAGGGGGUUUUGCGGGGGCUCGGUCCUUUGUUUCUCGGUCGUCGUCAUCCCCGGCGAUACCUUCUGCUCUCGCGUCCGUCACGCAGUCUUCUUAGAGGGACAAGCGGCGUCCAGCCGCGUGACAGUGAGCAAUAACAGGUCUGUGAUGCCCUUAGAUGUCCUGGGCCGCACGCGCGCUACACUGAAGGAAUCAGCGUGUUUCACUCUCCCUGUCCGAAAGGACCGGGUAACCGCUGAACCUCCUUCGUGGUUGGGAUUGGGGACUGCAAUGAUCCCCAUGAACCAGGAAUCCUAGUAGGCGCGGGUCACUAGCCCGCGUCGAUUACGACCCUGCCCUUUGUACACACCGCCCGUCGCUACUACCGAUUGAAUGAUUUAGUGAGGCCUUCUGACGGGCUUGUCGGGGUGCCGUCGCGUGGGGAGCAAUCUCUGCGCGCGCGGUGCCUACCAACGGCGAGACUGAAAGAUGGUCGAACUUGAUCCUUUAGAGGAAGUAAAAGUCGUAACAAGGUUUCCGUAGGUGAACCUGCGGAAG
rnacentral:rRNA from 1 species